CUGAGAGAAAGGUAAAUACUAAAUGCUUUGUUUGUUGUACACAAAGCUUUCGCUUAUUUCUUCUUCUUUCCCUCUCUUUUUUAUACGGGCCUGUAGCUCAGUUGGUUAGAGCACUUCUCUGAUAAGGAAGGGGUCAUUAGUUCAACUCUAAUCAGGCCCAUUUUACAGCUGAGCAAACAGCUGAUAGUAAUAUCAUUAAAAAUGAUUUUACGGAAAGAUCUUUGAAAAGCUAGGGAAGGGAAAGAGAGAAUGCUUGAAGGUAGAUUACUUUGUUAGAGAAGUAAUUAACUGGAGAGUAGAAAAAUAAGGUGAAAAGAAGAAUUCUUAACGGUUACCGAAUAGGUAAUUGUUUUAAGAAGAGAACAUAAUAU
rnacentral:tRNA from 1 species